UUGACCUCAAAUCAGGUAGGACUACCCGCUGAACUUAAGCAUAUCAAUAAGCGGAGGAAAAGAAACUAACAAGGAUUCCCCUAGUAACUGCGAGUGAAGCGGGAAAAGCUCAAAUUUAAAAUCUGGCGUGCCUUUGGUCGUCUGAGUUGUAGUCUGGAGAAGUGUUUUCCGCGCUGGACCGUGUACAAGUCCCUUGGAACAGGGCGUCAUAGARGGUGAGAAUUCCGUCUUUGACAUGGACUACCAGUGCUUUGUGAUGCGCUCUCAAAGAGUCGAGUUGUUUGGGAAUGCAGCUCAAAAUGGGUGGUAAAUUCCAUCUAAAGCUAAAUAUAGGCGAGAGACCGAUAGCGAACAAGUACCGUGAGGGAAAGAUGAAAGCACUUUGG
rnacentral:rRNA from 1 species